AUUUUAUCAAAGUAAUUUUUUAUUAGUUCUUCUUUACUUUUUUCAUAUUAUCAUUAAAUAUGAGGACAGGUUUUGUGUUUAAUUGCAAAUGAGCUAGGUAAUGUAAGUUAAAAGGGCAAUGUAAGUAUAUUGAAGACUGGAGGUGCAGCAGAGGGUGAUCCUGCCCCUUCUGUUCUACAGUUCUCUGGCCAGCAAAUCAACAGUAGGAAGAUGGUCAAACCCUAUUAGGGAUUGAGAUGAACUUCUGGCAGAAACAUUUCAACAGUUUAUACAAUUCUCUAUCUUCCAUCUCUGAUGGAAUGACAACUGAAAUCCAGUGAGCAACAAAGUGCAGUACCAUCCACUGUCCUGGAUGCCUUUGAAACCAUGAAACAGACAUCACAAUGCAAGACUAAGUACCGAUGACAUUUCUGUCAAACUAAACAAAUC